UUGGCUGCAAGUUUCUGUAAACCAAGUAGAUCAGUUUGAUUGGUUUGAUAAUGAAUAUGCUUUUCGUGCUGUGAGCAUGCUACAGGCAUGAUCACUUGGCUGGCGACAUCAUGAGUGGGAACACCUUUUUUCUUGCUGUGAAAGUGAAAACCAUACUUCAGAAUAGAUCCUUUCUCCAGAAAUGUUGAAAUGAGCACACGGCGAAAAGCCAAUUCAGUGUAUAAGAAUAUUUCAAGUUCUUCGAUACAAGUACACAAAAAGGUAUAAAGCAAUAUGUCAAACAGUGAUGUCGUCAGCGCCAAUGAAAGACAUGAAGAGGAAGUUGCCUCGGCCAAGUCGUUCACAUCCAGCAUCCCGUACAUACCCAGUCUACACAGACUGGACACCGUCCCCUCGAAGAAGCAUCAAGAUUCCUGGUCGUCACAGAAUCCUCAAUUUAGGAAUAAUUUAGGAAAUAUUCCUCAGUGGUAUAAUACACCUUGAUCAUGUGAACUCUGACAAGUACCACUAUGGUUUAUUUUCUGUAACCAUACACGAGUAGUGAUGAGGCAUAAGUGAAUGGUCUGGUGACUACUUAGAGGUUACUCAUUUGUUCCUGAAAAACAUCACAGAACACAUACGAUGAGAUACAUUGUUUAAUGGAAAAAAUGUAAAGAAUAUUUUCAAUAAGCACUACAAGAUAAUACUUUUGACGGAGAAAUUAAAUGCAAAAGCACAUGCAUAAAAUACAUACCUAACAGUAACAUACUCUCAUUGGUGACAUUGAAAUGCUGGGUUAAAGAUUUAAUAUCAAUUGCAAUUUGUUUGUAGUUCGUGUCUUCAAAAAUUGAACAGUUUACUAAAUAUUAUCAGUCUUCCUGUCGUGGCGAUAUAUAUGUAUUACAUUCAAGAGUGGCGGCAACGAAACACGAUACACAGGUAGUAACUUACCGAACAAUCCCACAGCGUAACCUGUGCACUAUGCCAAGAUGUUGUUUUAUCAAAU